rnacentral:rRNA from 1 species
AGAGUUCGGGCCGCACGCGCGCUACACUGACGGAGCCAGCGAGUACUUCCUUGUCCGAAAGGUCCGGGUAAUCUUGUUAAACUCCGUCGUGCUGGGGAUAGAGCAUUGCAAUUAUUGCUCUUCAACGAGGAAUCCCUAGUAAGCGCAAGUCAUCAGCUUGCGUUGAUUACGUCCCUGCCCUUUGUACACACCGCCCGUCGCUACUACCGAUUGAAUGGCUCAGUGAGGCGUCCGGACUGGCCCAGAGAGGUGGGCAACUACCACUCAGGGCCGGAAAGCUCUCCAAACUCGGUCAUUUAGAGGAAGUAAAAGUCGUAACAAGGUCUCCGUUGGUGAACCAGCGGAGGGAUCAUUACCGAGUUUACAACUCCCAAACCCCUGUGAACAUACCUAUACGUUGCCUCGGCGGAUCAGCCCGCGCCCCGUAAAACGGGACGGCCCGCCCGAGGACCCCUAAACUCUGUUUUUAGUGGAACUUCUGAGUAAAACAAACAAAUAAAUCAAAACUUUCAACAACGGAUCUCUUGGUUCUGGCAUCGAUGAAGAACGCAGCAAAAUGCGAUAAGUAAUGUGAAUUGCAGAAUUCAGUGAAUCAUCGAAUCUUUGAACGCACAUUGCGCCCGCCAGUAUUCUGGCGGGCAUGCCUGUUCGAGCGUCAUUUCAACCCUCAAGCUCAGCUUGGUGUUGGGACUCGCGGUGUAAACCCGCGUUCCCCAAAUCGAUUGGCGGUCACGUCGAGCUUCCAUAGCGUAGUAAUCAUACACCUCGUUACUGGUAAUCGUCGCGGCCACCCGUAAAACCCCAACUUCUGAAUGGUGACCUCGGAUCAGGUAGGGAAUACCCGCCUGAACUUUAGCAUAUCAAUAACCGGGAGGGAAAAGAAAACCAACAGGGGAUUGCCCUAAUUAACGGCCAAGGGAAACCGGCCACCGCCCCAAAUUUUGAAAUCUUGGGUUCUUCGGGGCCCCAAGUUGUUAAUUUUGUAAAGGGAAGCCUUUUUAAUGCGGGGGCCCUUCCCAAGUU